AUCGGCAUUAUGAGCUCGGAAGGUCGAUCAAGGUCACUGAAUGUGAAAGCUCCAUAUAAUAUUGGCGGCGUUAACACAUCUUUAGUCAUUGACAAGGGUCUGAAGAAUUUGAACAGUAUAACAACGGACUACGUUGGAUGCAUAGCGAACGUACAAAUAUCAGGCGAGGAUAUGGGUGCAGCCCAAGAACCGAAAGGUGUCUUACCUUGUCCAGAUGAGAUGGCGUCGGGAUACACAGCUGAGAUUGGGGCAUACUUCUAUGGUGAUGGAGGAUAUGUCAAGCUUGUGGAUGCGUUCCAAGUAAAGCGAAACCUUGAAUUAAGCAUAGAGAUACGCCCCCCGUAGUUUUGACGGUGUGAUCUUCUCUGUACAUGGCGACAAGGGAGACUUUGUUGUCCUACAGCUUGUGGAUGGAGAGCUCUGGUUUACCGCAGACAAUGGCGCUGGCUCAAUAAUCGCCAAGAUACAGCCUGAAAUGAACAAUAAGUUCUGUAAUGGAGCAUGGCAUUCAGUUAUUGCCACAAAGCGCCGUAAUGUUGUAACACUGUCGGUUGAUGGUGCGGACCCUGUGACAGCUACCAGCUCGGGAACUGCUACGUCAGCUGACACAAACAAUCCCAUUUACCUUGGAGGAAAGCCGGGCACGAUAAUGAAAGGUAUUCGUGCCCAGGAUGAUUACAUGGGCUGCAUGAGGAACCUUUACAUUAAUGGCGAG